GCGUUGCUCGGAAUCACUGGGCGUAAAGCGCACGUAGGCGGAUUGCUAAGUCAGGGGUGAAAUCCUGGAGCUCAACUCCAGAACUGCCUUUGAUACUGGCGAUCUUGAGUCCGGGAGAGGUGAGUGGAACUGCGAGUGUAGAGGUGAAAUUCGUAGAUAUUCGCAAGAACACCAGUGGCGAAGGCGGCUCACUGGCCCGGUACUGACGCUGAGGUGCGAAAGCGUGGGGAGCAAACAGG
rnacentral:rRNA from 1 species